rnacentral:rRNA from 1 species
UACGUAGGGGGCAAGCGUUGUCCGGAUUCAUUGGGCGUAAAGAGCGUGUAGGCGGCCAGGUAGGUCGGUUGUGAAAACUGGAGGCUCAACCUUCGGAGGUCGACCGAAACCAUCUGGCUAGAGUCCGGGAGAGGAGAGUGGAAUUCCUGGUGUAGCGGUGAAAUGCGCAGAUAUCAGGAGGAACACCAGUGGCGAAGGCGACUUCCUGGCCUGUUCUUGACGCUGAGGCGCGAAAGCUAGGGUAGCAAACGGG